GUAUUUUUGACUAUUCUUUGUACGUUAAAUCCGGCCAUUCUAAGGACCGGUAAUAUGUUACUUAUUUGUCAUCCGUGCUGUACAGUUCUACGUGCUGGAUCAAACAGUAAUCCUGACACAAACACAGACAAGGUUACUGGCACACACACAAAUUUAGUACAGACAAAAUCUGAUACACACACAAGCUUACUACAGACAAGCUCACUGUCACACACACACGCUCACUACAGACAAGCUCACUGAUGCGCACACACUCUCCCUACAGACAAGCCCAUUGACACACACAUGCUCCCUACAGAAGAGCUCACUAACACACAGAUUCACUACAGCAAGCUCACUGACACACAUAUGGUCACUACAGAAAAGCUCACGAUCACACUCAUGCUUACUACAGACAAGCUCACUGUACACACAUGCUCACCACAGACAGGCUCUGACACACCCAUGCUCCUCACAGACAAGCUCACUAACAUGUACACACACAUAUGAUCCCUACAGACAAGUUCACUGAUACACAUACAAGCUCACUCACUGGCAGGCACACACACACAAACUCACUAGCACACACACACACACAGAAGCUCGCACGCUCACUCACUAGCAGAUGCACACACACAAAGACAUCCAUACACACAGAGGCAGACAGUCACUGACACCGAGGCAAACAUCCACACAUACAGAGACAGGCAGACAGCCACACACAUACACAGGCAGACAGAAACACACAUACAGUUACACACAGGCAGGCAGUCACACACACCGACAGCCACACAGUCACACACACACACACACACAGUCACACACAGACAGACAGUCACAAAUAUAAUCAUUGC